rnacentral:lncRNA from 1 species
AGGAAUUUGAAGUUGUUCAGAUGAUCAAGACUCCUAAUUCAAAGGAUAAGAAACCUGCAUUUACUAUGUCUUCAUUGAAAGAUGUUAGAGCAGUGGUUGAGAAUGGUCAACCCGAAGGUUGGGUCGUGUGCUAGAUCUUCCUCCAAAGUUUGAUAAGAUGGGUCUCGGUUUCAACUAUUCUAGGCAAGGUUUAGUCCCUGAAGCACCCAAGGUUCCAAG